CUCCCUUUUUCCAUAGUCUCUCUUUAUGUUUUAGUGCCUUUCCCUUCCUUUUUUCCAAUUUUAAAACUAGGAGAGCUAAUAAUAAUCAUUAUAUUCUGACCAAAAUCUUUCAAAUUCACUGAGUAUUGGCAUGCUGGUAAUUAAGGUCUCAGCUCUCCUGUUGUGACUUUUAUUAAAGUCAAUUUAUAUCUGUCAGAUCUUGGCAGCCCAUGAAAAUUCCCAGUGGGAAUACUAGGAGCAUAUUUCUCCCAUCAUCAUUAGUUGUGUGUCAUUAAUUUGAUAAUGCAUCACAAGCAUUUGAUAGCCCUAGAGACUGGCACUUUCAAUCCAGGGCUUCUGUAAUUGGCAGGAGCUAUUUAAGAGCAAACACAUUUGUCUAGACCCCAGGUGCACACGUACAGCCCCACUGAGCUACAGCCUUGCUUGAGGAUUUACUCUCCUACCAGGUGCAUGUUUUCACUGUGACUGAACUCAGUUGCAGUAAGUUCGACUUACUUGUCGAGCUUGUUCAUCCAGGAGGGUUUCAUGAAUCCCUUCUACAUGACAGAUCAAAGUUGUUGAGUUGUUGCCUGUUCUUAUCUGACACAGACUAACAUCAGCAGCAGCUGAGUGCCACAAGGAGGUGAGUGAGCUCCUCCAGUCCCUGCUGCUGUGGAGCACCACUGGUCUCAGUCCAGGAUUUCUCACCCCACUGCACCAGCUCUCUAUUUUCUUCAAGACUAACCUAAGCCAGGGCCCUUCUGUG
rnacentral:lncRNA from 1 species